CGCGACUGAAAUGGAAGCCCUGCAGGCUUUCGAUACGGACGGUAUAGAGAGGUCUGGCGCUAAAGACCAAUAACGGGGCCUGGAAGUGGUGGCCUCUCACGGUGCCUCUCUUGCCACUGAACUAACAAGUAGCCCUCUGUGAAGGGAGAAGAGGAGCAGGAAAGUGCUUUCCUCACCCAUAAAUUGGAUUACAUUUCCAGAAUGAUUAACUCUUCCUCACCUCCCCGUGGCCUUGUGAUACAGUAUCGUUUUGAUGGUCAGCCUUUAUCAGCAUCUGGGCUUUUCAGUCUCGUUUCUGCACUGCUAUGACAUAGAGGCAGGUGUGAAAGGAGAGAGUUGCAAGGAAGUUGAGGUCUCAAUGAUUCAAAUUGAAUGUAUCAGACAGAAAAAAGACGAAAGACAUCAUAUCACGCUAGAGGAGAUCUGUUCUGACAGUGCCAAAUGGAAGCAGAAUGAUUCACGCCACGCAUGAGACAUACCAAAUAUUGAUCCUCCACUCCUCAUAAGAAACAUUAUAUCUGCUGAACUAGCAGAAGUGGGCAGCCUUGACCAUGAAAACAGCAGUACUCCACAGAAUAAAUCUAAAUUCCACUGGAGGUACAAGGCAGUCUUCAGAGACCACAGAUUAACCAUUGCACAGCCUGGAGGAGAAGUGAAAAACUGACAAAGGACCAGCUUUUUUGCUGGAUUUUCUAACAUUCUUGUCCAUAUCAAAAAAUGGAAAGAAAGCUUUUACAAGUUCCCAUAUAAUGAAGACAACUUAAGAAGCAUACAAACAAUUUUUAGAAGAUAGCCAGAAAGCAUUAACAGAUGAGUUAGCAGCUAGCUAAGUAUUUAGAUUGCACGUUUCACAUUUAUCACAAGAUACCCCUCUUUCCAGACAGAGGUCUCUGUUAUGGACUGAGACAAACAGUAGCUAAUUAUUCCUUUGUGUAUAUAUAUGUAUUCUUUGAAGAGAGCAACUGAGCCAAGUGGGCCUCUGUGCAGGGAAAAGGACAUGGCACUUUCAUUUGAGAGCUACUGAAUGUGCUCAUGGGUGGGGAGAAGCAAACAUCAAGGGGAUAGGAGCACACAGUUCAGGCUCAGCAAAUGGCGGAGAGCAGCAGGAGAAGCUAGAAUGAAGCCCCAGUGGCAAUGGAAACCACUCACUAGGCAUCAGAGUGAACUUGCAGUCUGCUUCAACCCCAAAAGCCACAAAGUUGACUGAAACCAAAACUGGGAGCAAGGACAAAGUGAGCAGCAGGAGAGUUGUUUAUGAACUGGUCCCCAUGUCUAGUCUGUCUUUUCUCUCACUUGUCUCUUAAGAAGUUUGUCAGAUGUAGGCCUUUAAAGGGAACAUGAGGUUUGAGUUUGAAAGCUCUUUGGGGGAAGGGGUCUGAAUAGACCUACCUCAAAAGCUUUGGUCAGCCCAGAGUAAGCUUUUGUUUUGUUUUAGAGGUGUUUUGGUGUUUCACUUAGUCAUGAUGAGAAAAUACCCAGCUGCUAUUUGCAGCAUAUUAGUGGUGCCUUCACCAACCCUUACUUCUUAAAGGGGACCAAGUAACAAACAUCACAUGCUACGCACAAGGACAUCAUCCUGAACUCAGACAGUGAUGAUCAGAGAAGCACUUCCCUCACACUUGGAUGUAAGUCAGCAUGAGGCUCUGGUGAGGAAUAUUUCAUCAUAACCUUCUGUCUUUCCCCAUUUCUCCCAUCUUCCAUCCAAACCAGAAACUGCUGAUCAAAGUCUCCAUCCACAACCUCCUGCAAUGCAUGCUAUGAGUGCCAGGCUGAAUUAUUUUACAAUCACCUGCAAUUACCAGUUACAUCUGUACAAUAGGUCUGUACAAUACAAUAGGUCUGUUUUCCCCUGUAUGUCCAAUGCACUAUCAUGCAUCAUCUGCCCACAAAUUGUGCUGCACCAGCCACUGUUGUUUUGCUGUCCUCUCUGGCAGCCUGUAACACAAGGAGGGUUAAAAAAAACAUGAGGAAGCCAUUAGGAGUUGGGAGCAGUUGCCCAACAUUACAAAGGAGGGAGGAAAAAAAAAAGAUCUGAGGAAACAAAGGAACCACGCACGAGCAACUUUCCUUUUGGUCAACAUCUGCAGGCAGUCUGCAGUUACUCCUGCUUUCAAGGCAUACUACACCAGCCCUCCAGAACAGCACAAUAUAUGCAUUCGCUUUAGCACCGUCACAUUAAUUUAAGCAUGUCAACUAUUAAAAAAAGGCUAUGAGAGCAUAGCUGCUCAGAUGGAACACACAGUACUCUGAAAAAGAAAAACCAAGAGGAACAACAGUACCGCACUAUCUAAUGAUCAAGGGAAACAGUUGUCUCCAGCUUCUAAUUAUAAUGCUAUGCAAAGCAACUUGAAGUAAAUAUAUUGGUGUUUAUUUUCUAUUCAGCUUCCCAGA